rnacentral:rRNA from 1 species
GACGAACGCUGGCGGCGUGCCUAAUACAUGCAAGUCGAACGCAGUGGGGACGGGUGAGUAACACGUGGGUAACCUCCCAUCAGAGGGGAUAACACUUGGAAACAGGUGCUAAACCGAUACUGAUGGAUGGACCCGCGGGGGAUUAGCUAGUGGGUGGGGGAACGGCUCACCAAGGCCACGAUGCAUAGCCGACCUGAGAGGAUGACCAGCCACACUGGAACUGAGACACGGCCCAGACUCCUACGGGAGGCAGCAGUAGGGAAUCUUCGACAAUGGGCGAAAGUCUGACCGAGCAACGCCGCGUGAAUGAAGAAGGUUUUCGGAUCGUAAAGCUCUGUUGUUAGGGAAGCGGUAUCUAACCAAGAAGCCACGGCUAACUACGUGCCAGCAGCCGCGGUAAUAC